ensembl:lncRNA
UCAUGUCUGCACCAGGCUGGGAUUUGCAGCCCAGGAUCCUGCCUCACUGCUGUGCCCAUGGGAAGCAGCAUGGCUCUUGCUCCUCCCAGAAAUAGUGGUGCUGCGCUGGCACAGGCUGCCCAGGGAGGUGGUGGGGUCACCAUCCCUGGAGGUGUUCCAGAACCGUGUGGAUGUGGCACUGAGGGACACAGUUGGUGGGCAUGGUGGGGAUGGGCUGAUGGUUGGGCUGGAUGAUCUUAGAGGUUAUUACCAGCCUUAAUGAUUCUGUGAUUCUAUGAUUCCUCUAGCAUUCUGCUGCUGCCGGGAGCUUGAGCUCUGCAAGACAGCAGGGCCUUCAAGUGAUGUUCUUUGUGUGGGAGCCUCCUGGAAGCAGCUGGAGGUCUCCAGGCCAUGCUUAAAAGUUAUCCACCCUUUGCCUCCCAUCUUUAUCCAAACCAUUGCCUCCUCCUCCUGCCUCUGCCACAGUAGCCUCCCUGCAGCAAGAAGGCCUUGUGGGCUGCCUGUUUCUCUGGGACCAGCCUGUGCCAGUACAGCACUGCUCUUUCUGAGAAGAAAAUUUUCCUCAUACCCAACUUGAACCUCCCCCAGUGCAACCUGAGGCCAUUCCCUCUUACCCUGUCACUGUUACCUGGGAGCAGAGGCCGACUCCCACCUCACCACAACCUCCUUUCAGGUCCUUGUAGAGAGCAAUGAGGUCUCCCCUGAGCUCCUCUUCUCAGACUGCACAACCCCAGUUCCCUCAGCCGCUCUCCAUCAGACUUGUGCUCCAGACCCCUCACAGCUCCACUGCCCUUCUCUGAACAUGCUCCAGGGUAGUGGGGAGCCCAGAACUGAGCACAGCACUCGAGAUGAGGCCUCACCUUCCCCGCUCCUUCCCUUGCUUGGCCUCCUGGUUUCGGAGGCCGGCCCUGUCUGGGGCACCGAGCAGAAUUCGGCAUGCCUGAUUCCCAGACGUUGCCUUCCCCCUCCUGCCCUGACCCACAAAGGCGAGGAGGAAGAGGGACAAAGAGGAGAGGAAGAAGAAGGGAGCACAUCUUUAGUCCUGUCUGAAAAAAACCCACGAAAGAAAGGAAAUGGAGGUCGGUUUUCUUGUACUGCUUUGAGCUGGACAUGUGCAAUACCCUCGGAAGAACGCGGCCCCGCCAGCCCUCGUCCCUCCCCAUCCCUCGCAGGGGGUCCAGCACUCGGCCCCCACCUCGCCCUGUGAAUGCUUCCCAGCUCCGCGAAGCUUUUGGGUUUAACUCCAAACACCGCUCUCCCUUACGCCACAGUCCGGGGCACCAAGCAUUGCUCGUCCCUAUGGGUCGGUGGGGGUUCGUUUUGAAUGUUUGUCCCCUUUUUUAAAAAAAAAUACUGAGUUUUUUUUUUGGGGGGGGGGGCGGGGGAAGUGAGCAGAGGUCUGGAUGCCCAGCCUGCUCCCCUCACCCUGCCUUGGAGGCUGAGGCUGAGAUAUUUGGGGGGCAAUGGGGUGGAGGCAUCGGGAUGCUUUUAAGCAGAAACCCCACUGGGAGCCGAAGCGGGAGCCUGGCAGGCUCCUGAAACUGGAGCAGCAGGGAUGGGAAUGGAAAAAAAAAAAACAUAUUAAAACAAAAAAUUUGUAAAAAUUAGGUCUGAGCUGCCCCAGGGCUUGGCGCACCCAUCCAGCGCACCCCACAGCUUU